rnacentral:lncRNA from 1 species
CGGGAAAAUAAAGGAGAAAAAAAUCUUGGAAGGCGGGAAACAUGAAAAUGUUGAAAAAAGAUUAAAUAUCACUAGACGCGGAAAUUCUUUCCCGAAAAGGUUUGACCGAACUGCCAAUUCGCUGGCGCCACGUUCCAAGAGGUUGAGGUCCUUCUGUCACUGCCCGUGACUCUAAACGAAAGUGCCUGGCCCACGAGCUGAGCGUUGGAUUGCCAGUUUUGUCCCCAGUUGCGGCUCAUGCUCAGCCAUUGGGUGUUGGCCCCUUUCACGCUCACGCGCACGAUAUCCCCUGCGCCCGCGACGUUGGUGACCAAGACCAAGUUGAAGUAACGGAAACCGUUAAUUGUGAAUCUGAUUCCGCCUCGCUUUCUGCAGGGCACCCUGCAAAGACAAAAUAAUAAUUAUUAUUUAAAAAAUGGGUAACGUCGCAGUUAAGACCUGCCAUAACAGUGCCCUACGGUUUGAGGGCAACUUUUAGGCCCCGUUUGAAGACUAAAACCUUGACUGGUUAAAAUAAAUUAAAAAAAUUAAAAAAUAAAUACUUCAGUAAUUAGGUACAAGGUCCCAAAAAAUGGUGAACAGACACACGCGUGGGAGAACGUGAACUGUGCCCCAGAUUUUCUGACUUAGAACCACCACCCAAUCCUGAUUUUCCGGUAAUAUUUGAGAAACGUAAAAUUACUAAAGCACCCUUAUUUUAUUUGACGACAAUGUCCUCGUAGAAAUUAAACAAUUACAUACAUGCGAGCAUAUUUUAGUUAUAAAAAUAAUUAUAAUUUAAACAACACCGAAAAGUACAAGGGUGAAAAGGGCACAAGGGCUGAACGGUUUGCCGUUGGCUGUGUUGGGAUAAACGACAUAAACUACUGAUCAGUAAACUUAUUUCCGGGUUCUGUUUGUUUGCGAAGAAAAGAAAAGGGAAAAUAUUAAAAUAAAAACACACAUUAAACAGCCCGACUUUUUCCCGGGUUUCCGGUAUUUCUUCCAAAGAAGACAUUCAAACAAAACUUGGAGACAAAGAAAAGAAACCACAUAUUAAAUAAAAAUGUAAACUUUAGCAGGGGCAUUUGAGUAAAAUCGACAGCAACUCUAACACUCACCUGCGGUAAGAAACGGGGACGAUACCAGCGCGGUACUGGGCGAGCUUGAGGAACAUAGGCAUGGCCAGAUCGAAAUGAGGGCGAGGAGGGUUGCACCACCCGCCAUUAUCGGAGGGCUGAGCGAAGUUCGGGGGGCAAAAGUUGGUCGCCGUGAUCAGAAUGGCCGGGUUACCCGGGUUACACCAUUGCGGGUCGCCGCCGCACUUUAACUCGAAGCACGCGCCGCAGCUCAAGCCGUUGUUGAACAGCGCCGUACUGAGAGCCGCCGUGUUC